rnacentral:lncRNA from 1 species
UGUUGCUGUAUAUCAUAUUAUUUUCCAGUUUACUGUUAUGUCAAUAUAUCAGGCCGUUACUUUUCUCGUUUGAAUUGUUAAACCUUUUUAUUUUAUUUCGGGUCUUUUAACGAUUACCGUGAGAUAUCGAUUGUGCUCAUUAUUGAGGGCAGUACGGUGAUCUAUAAUAGUUGUUAAAUUCUCUGGUAGAGAAGUAUCUCAUCGACAAGUAAGUGCUUACUGUAGAAAUACUUUUUUAAUUUUUAGUUUCUUGUGUACAAUUUGGAGUUAAGUAUGGCGUUC